CCGCGGGAUUAGAGUUUGAUCCUGGCUCAGAACGAACGCUGGCGGCGUGGAUAAGACAUGCAAGUCGAACGCUGACUUUAAGGUAGCAAUGUUUUGAAGUCGGAGUGGCGCAAGGGUGCGUAACACGUGGGUAAUUUGCCGUAAAGUCUGGGAUAACUUGCUGAAAGGCGAGCUAAUACCGGAUGUGAAUUUUUAAAGGCAUCUUCGGAAAUUCAAAGUUGGGGACCGUAAGGCCUGACGCUUUACGAUAAGCCCGCGGCCUAUCAGCUAGUUGGUGAGGUAACGGCUCACCAAGGCUAAGACGGGUAGCUGGUCUGAGAGGACGACCAGCCUCACUGGAACUGAGACACGGUCCAGACACCUACGGGUGGCAGCAGUCGAGAAUUUUUCUCAAUGGGCGAAAGCCUGAAGGAGCGACGCCGCGUGGGGGAUGAAUGGCUUCGGCCCGUAAACCCCUGUCAUUUGUGAACAAAUUAAUCCACCUAACAUGUGGAUUAUUGAUAGUAACGGAAGAGGAAGGGACGGCUAACUCUGUGCCAGCAGCCGCGGUAAUACAGAGGUCCCAAGCGUUGUUCGGAUUCACUGGGCGUAAAGGGUGCGUAGGCGGUUUGGCAAGUCUGAUGUGAAAUCCCGCAGCUUAACUGCGGAACUGCAUUGGAAACUAUCUGACUAGAGGAAUGGAGGGGAGACUGGAAUACUUGGUGUAGCAGUGAAAUGCGUAGAUAUCAAGUGGAACACCAGUGGCGAAGGCGAGUCUCUGGACAUUUCCUGACGCUG
rnacentral:rRNA from 1 species